UGAACGCUGGCGGCGUGCUUAACACAUGCAAGUCGAGCGAAGCAGUUAAGAAGAUUCUUCGGAUGAAACUUGAUUGACUGAGCGGCGGACGGGUGAGUAACGCGUGGGUGACCUGCCCCAUACCGGGGGAUAACAGCUGGAAACGGCUGCUAAUACCGCAUAAGCGCACAGAGCUGCAUGGCUCGGUGUGAAAAACUCCGGUGGUAUGGGAUGGGCCCGCGUCUGAUUAGGCAGUUGGCGGGGUAACGGCCCACCAAACCGACGAUCAGUAGCCGGACUGAGAGGUUGAACGGCCACAUUGGGACUGAGACACGGCCCAGACUCCUACGGGAGGCAGCAGUGGGGAAUAUUGCACAAUGGGGGAAACCCUGAUGCAGCGACGCCGCGUGGAGGAAGAAGGUCUUCGGAUUGUAAACUCCUGUUGUUGAGGAAGAUAAUGACGGUACUCAACAAGGAAGUGACGGCUAACUACGUGCCAGCAGCCGCGGUAAAACGUAGGUCACAAGCGUUGUCCGGAAUUACUGGGUGUAAAGGGAGCGCAGGCGGGAAGACAAGUUGGAAGUGAAAUCUAUGGGCUCAACCCAUAAACUGCUUUCAAAACUGUUUUUCUUGAGUAGUGCAGAGGUAGGCGGAAUUCCCGGUGUAGCGGUGGAAUGCGUAGAUAUCGGGAGGAACACCAGUGGCGAAGGCGGCCUACUGGGCACCAACUGACGCUGAGGCUCGAAAGUGUGGGUAGCAAACAGGAUUAGAUACCCUGGUAGUCCACACCGUAAACGAUGAUUACUAGGUGUUGGAGGAUUGACCCCUUCAGUGCCGCAGUUAACACAAUAAGUAAUCCACCUGGGGAGUACGACCGCAAGGUUGAAACUCAAAGGAAUUGACGGGGGCCCGCACAAGCAGUGGAGUAUGUGGUUUAAUUCGACGCAACGCGAAGAACCUUACCAAGUCUUGACAUCCUGCGGCGAUGCUGGAAACAGUAUUUUCCUUCGGGACGCAGAGACAGGUGGUGCAUGGUUGUCGUCAGCUCGUGUCGUGAGAUGUUGGGUUAAGUCCCGCAACGAGCGCAACCCUUACUGUCAGUUACUACGCAAGAGGACUCUGGCAGGACUGCCGUUGACAAAACGGAGGAAGGUGGGGAUGACGUCAAAUCAUCAUGCCCUUUAUGACUUGGGCUACACACGUACUACAAUGGCGUUAAACAAAGAGAAGCAAGACCGCGAGGUGGAGCAAAACUCAGAAACAACGUCCCAGUUCGGACUGCAGGCUGCAACUCGCCUGCACGAAGUCGGAAUUGCUAGUAAUCGUGGAUCAGCAUGCCACGGUGAAUACGUUCCCGGGCCUUGCACUCACCGCCCGUCAA
rnacentral:rRNA from 1 species